rnacentral:rRNA from 1 species
GUGGAGCAUGUGGCUUAAUUUGACUCAACGCGGGAAAUCUUACCGGGUCCGGACACACUGAGGAUUGACAGGCAAUAUUAAAAAUAAUUUAUUAUUUUUAUGUUAAAUAUGCUAGUCCUUUCAUGAUUAUGUGAUAGGUGGUGCAUGGCCGUUCUUAGUUCGUGGAGUGAUCUGUCUGCUUAAUUGCGUUUCACUAAGGGCUUAUAAAUUACGUGUGUUGUAGGUACUUUGACCCCUACGUUGAAAUAUUACGUAGUGCGUGUCUUAGUUUGCUUUUACUCACACAAUUAAGUCCUGAAAGCAACGAACGUGACCGCAACCUCUUGUUGCCUUUAUACCAAAAAAUUUUUUCCGUUCGCGGUUAAAUUUUAUAAAAAGGCUUUUAAACUAGAGGGACCGCUGUAACUUUUUUAAACCAGAGGAAGGUUGCGGCAAUAACAGGUCUGUGAUGCC